UACAGAGGUCUCAAGCGUUGUUCGGAUUCAUUGGGCGUAAAGGGUGCGUAGGUGGCGCGGUAAGUCGGGUGUGAAAUUUCGGAGCUUAACUCCGAAACUGCAUUCGAUACUGGCGUGCUUGAGGACUGGAGAGGAGACUGGAAUUCAUGGUGUAGCAGUGAAAUGCGUAGAGAUCAUGAGGAAGACCAGUGGCGAAGGCGGGUCUCUGGACAGUUCCUGACACUGAGACACGAAGGCUAGGGGAGCAAACGGG
rnacentral:rRNA from 1 species